rnacentral:lncRNA from 1 species
UCCAGACUGAAGCUUUUUUCCGGUUUAUUACAUUCAUUGUUCUUCUCACUGGUGAAGGUUUCUGUGCUGAUUGCUAUUUGCCUAAACUUUCCAGCCUGCAAACAGUAAGAAGAUUCCCCUCUCUUUCUCAGUGGAUGUAAAGUAGUGAAUCUGCAUAAAUGGUAUCAGUCCUGUAACUCAACUCCUUCUGGAGUGGACUUCCCCUAGACCCAGAGAGCAAGUCCUGCCUAGCCUACACAGCCUGAAGUUGGAGAUCUCUUCCAAUUCAGGUGGAAUGAAAGUGAACAAUGAGACAAUGAAAGUGGAAGUUUCUCUCAAGCAAAUACAGAAGUCAACCAUUCCAGCUUUCUAAGGUACUGGUAAUACUCUUUCGUCUGUUUUAUUUUAUGGCAUAAUUUUAAGACUCCU